UACGUAGGUGGCAAGCGUUGUCCGGAAUUACUGGGUGUAAAGGGAGCGUAGGCGGGAAAGCAAGUUGAAUGUUUAAACUAUCGGCUCAACCGGUAGUCGCGUUCAAAACUGCUUUUCUUGAGUGGAGUAGAGGCAGGCGGAAUUCCUAGUGUAGCGGUGAAAUGCGUAGAUAUUAGGAGGAACACCAGUGGCGAAGGCGGCCUGCUGGGCUCUAACUGACGCUGAGGCUCGAAAGCGUGGGUAGCAAACAGG
rnacentral:misc_RNA from 1 species